GGAUGUUAGGGCAAUCUGGCUGUGACAUCUGUCACCCCACUAAUCGCCAGGGUUGAUUCGGCUGAUCUGGCUGGCUAAGCAGGUGUCCCCUUCUUCCCUCACCGCUCCAUAUGCAUCCCUCCUGAAGCUGCAUGCUCGGUUGAAGAGGACAACCAUCCCCAAUAGAGGAGGACUGUUCUCAGUCAAGGGCAUACAAGUGGCUGCGCUCCCCUGCUAGAACCUCCAAACAAGCUCUCAAAGAAGAUAUCCAGAUGGCCAACAGGUGCAUGAAAAGAUGCUCAGUAGCCCUAAUUAUUACAGAAAUGGAAAUCAAAACUACAGU
rnacentral:snRNA from 1 species